rnacentral:rRNA from 1 species
GGUCAAGCGAAUAAGCGCACACGGUGGAUGCCUAGGCGGUCAGAGGCGAUGAAGGACGUGGUAGCCUGCGAAAAGUGUCGGGGAGCUGGCAACAAGCUUUGAUCCGGCAAUAUCCGAAUGGGGAAACCCACUGCUUCGGCAGUAUCUUGCAGUGAAUUCAUAGCUGCUUGAAGCGAACCCGGUGAACUGAAAUAUCUAAGUAACCGGAGGAAAAGAAAUCAACCGAGAUUCCCUGAGUAGUGACGAGCGAACGGGGAACAGCCCUUAAGCUGGAAUGGCUUUAGAAAAACAAUCUGGAAAGAUUGGCCAUAGAAGGUGAUAGCCCUGUAUUUAAAAGGGCCACUCCAGUGAAGACGAGUAGGGCGGGGCACGUGAAACCCUGUCUGAAUAUGGGGGGACCAUCCUCCAAGGCUAAAUACUCCUGACCGACCGAUAGUGAACCAGUACCGUGAGGGAAAGGCGAAAAGAACCCCGGAGAGGGGAGUGAAAUAGAUCCUGAAACCGUGUGCGUACAAGCAGUAGGAGCUCGAAAGAGUGACUGCGUACCUUUUGUAUAAUGGGUCAGCGACUUACUGUUCGUGGCAAGCUUAACCGUAUAGGGGAGGCGAAGGGAAACCGAGUCUGAUAAGGGCGCAUAGUCGCGGGCAGUAGACCCGAAACCGGGUGAUCUAGUCAUGGCCAGGGUGAAGGUGCCGUAACAGGUACUGGAGGCCCGAACCCACGUCUGUUGCAAAAGACGGGGAUGAGCUGUGAUUAGGAGUGAAAAGCUAAUCGAACCCGGAGAUAGCUGGUUCUCCUCGAAAGCUAUUUAGGUAGCGCCUCGGACGAAUACUACUGGGGGUAGAGCACUGUUAUGGCUAGGGGGUCAUCGCGACUUACCAAACCAUUGCAAACUCCGAAUACCAGUACGUACUAUCCGGGAGACACACGGCGGGUGCUAACGUCCGUCGUGAAAAGGGAAACAACCCAGACCCACAGCUAAGGUCCCAAAUUCACUGCUAAGUGGAAAACGAUGUGGAAAGGCAUAGACAGCCAGGAGGUUGGCUUAGAAGCAGCCACCCUUUAAAGAAAGCGUAAUAGCUCACUGGUCGAGUCGGUCUGCGCGGAAGAUUUAACGGGGCUAAGCAGUGAACCGAAGCUUGGGGUGCGUAAAACUUCGGUUUUAUGCGCGGUAGAGGAGCGUUCCGUAAGCCUGCGAAGGUGGAUUGAGAAGUCUGCUGGAGGUAUCGGAAGUGCGAAUGCUGACAUGAGUAACGAUAAUGCGGGUGAAAAGCCCGCACGCCGAAAGCCCAAGGUUUCCUUGCGCAACGUUAAUCGACGCAGGGUUAGUCGGUCCCUAAGGCGAGGGCGAAAGCCGUAGUCGAUGGGAAGCAGGUUAAUAUUCCUGCACCUCGCGUGAGUGCGAUGGAGGGACGGAGAAGGUUAGGUGUACCGGGCGUUGGUUGUCCCGGGGAAAGGCGGUAGGUUUGGAUCUUUGGCAAAUCCGGGAUCCUUUAAGACCGAGCACCGAGACGAGCCUUUAUGGCGAAGUCACUGAUACCACGCUUCCAGGAAAAGCUCCUAAGCUUCAGCUCACGAAGACCGUACCGUAAACCGACACAGGUGGGUAGGAUGAGAAUUCUCAGGCGCUUGAGAGAACUCGGGUGAAGGAACUAGGCAACAUGGCACCGUAACUUCGGGAGAAGGUGCACCCUUUUUGGUGGCUCAUGCGAGCUAUAGCUGAAGAGGGUCGCAGAAACCAGGCCGCUGCGACUGUUUAUCAAAAACACAGCACUCUGCAAACACGAAAGUGGACGUAUAGGGUGUGACGCCUGCCCGGUGCUGGAAGGUUAAUUGAUGGGGUCAGCCGCAAGGCGAAGCUCUUGAUCGAAGCCCCAGUAAACGGCGGCCGUAACUAUAACGGUCCUAAGGUAGCGAAAUUCCUUGUCGGGUAAGUUCCGACCUGCACGAAUGGCGUAACGACAGCGGCGCUGUCUCCACCCGAGACUCAGUGAAAUUGAAAUCGCUGUGAAGAUGCAGCGUUCCCGUGGCAAGACGGAAAGACCCCGUGAACCUUUACUAUAGCUUUACACUGAACGUUGAGUUCGUCUGUGUAGGAUAGGUGGGAGGCUAUGAAACUGUGGCGCUAGCUGCAGUGGAGCCAACCUUGAAAUACCACCCUGUCGUGCUUGACGUUCUAACCUAGAUCCGUUAUCCGGAUCAGGGACCGUGUAUGGUGGGUAGUUUGACUGGGGCGGUCUCCUCCUAAAGAGUAACGGAGGAGCACGAAGGUACGCUCAGCGCGGUCGGACAUCGCGCACUGUGUGCAAAGGCAUAAGCGUGCUUGACUGCAAGAUCGACGGAUCAAGCAGGUACGAAAGUAGGUCUUAGUGAUCCGGUGGUUCUGUAUGGAAGGGCCAUCGCUCAACGGAUAAAAGGUACUCCGGGGAUAACAGGCUGAUACCGCCCAAGAGUUCAUAUCGACGGCGGUGUUUGGCACCUCGAUGUCGGCUCAUCACAUCCUGGGGCUGUAGUCGGUCCCAAGGGUAUGGCUGUUCGCCAUUUAAAGUGGUACGCGAGCUGGGUUCAGAACGUCGUGAGACAGUUCGGUCCCUAUCUGCCAUGGGCGUUGGAAGUUUGAGAGGGGCUGCUCCUAGUACGAGAGGACCGGAGUGGACGAACCUCUGGUGUUCCGGUUGUCACGCCAGUGGCAUUGCCGGGUAGCUAUGUUCGGAAGCGAUAACCGCUGAAAGCAUCUAAGCGGGAAGCGCGCCUCAAGAUGAGACUUCCCGGGGCACAAGCCCCCUAAAGGAACCAUAUAGACUAUGUGGUUGAUAGGUCAGGUGUGUAAGUACAGCAAUGUAUUGAGCUAACUGAUACUAAUGAUCCGUGCGGCUUGACCAU